rnacentral:rRNA from 1 species
GGCUCAGGACGAACGCUGGCGGCGUGCCUAAUGCAUGCAAGUCGCACGCAGAGUGCUUGCACUCUGAGUGGCGCACGGCUGAGGAUCACGUGGGAACCUGCCCCUUGGUGGGGGACAACAGCGCGAAAGCGCUGCUAAUCCCGCAUACGCUCGCGCAAGCGCGGAAAGCGGCAACGCGCCGAGGGAGGGGCCCGCGGCCCAUCAGGUCGUCGGUGGGGUAACGGCCUACCGAGCCAAUGACGGGUAGCUGGUCUGUGAGGACAGACAGCCAGACUGGGACUGAGACACGGCCCAGACUCCUACGGGAGGCAGCAGCAAGGAAUUUUCGCCAAUGGGCGCAAGCCUGAACGAGCAACGCCGCGUGGAGGAUGACGGCCUUCGGGUUGUAAACUCCUUUUUCAGGGGACGAUGAUGACGGUACCCUGGGAAUAAGGCUCGGCUAACUCUGUGCCAGCAGCCGCGGUAAUACAGAGGAGCCAAGCGUUGUCCGGAUUGACUGGGCGUAAAGCGCACGCAGGCGGACGCGCGCGUGGGGUGUGAAAUCUGGCCGCUUAACGGCCAGGCGCCAUCCCAUACGGCGCAUCUGGAGCCUUGCAGAGGUCGGUGGAAUUGCCGGUGUAGUGGUGAAAUGCGUAGAGAUCGGCAGGAACACCCAGGGGGAAACCAGCCGACUGGGCAAGUGCUGACGCUGAGGUGCGAGAGCGUGGGGAGCGAACCGGAUUAGAUACCCGGGUAGUCCACGCCGUAAACGAUGGCCACUCGGCCUUUGGGAACGGAAUCUCCGUUCCUGGGGGCCUUAGCAAACGCGGGAAGUGGCCCGCC